GGCAAAACUUCAAAAAUAGGUCUCAGUUCGGACUNUAGGCUGCAACUCGCCUACACGAAGUUGGAAUUGCUAGUAAUCGUGGAUCAGCAUGCCACGGUGAAUACGUUCCCGGGUCUUGUACACACCGCCCGUCACACCAUGGGAGCUGGUAACACCCGAAGUCAGUAGUCUAACCGCAAGGAGGACGCUGCCGAAGGUGGGAUUAGCGACUGGGGUGAAGUCGUAACAAGGUAAC
rnacentral:rRNA from 1 species